GCUGUGCAAUGAAGUUACACGUACCUUUGUGAUCGUCAAUGUGAUAUUAUAUGUCGUCAUGGUUAUAGUUUUGUUAUGGUAAUAAAAUAAUUUGUGCCAUCAAAAAUAUUUAUUAAACCACAAGGAAAGGGCCUAUGGAAAUGCCCUUUUAAUGAAUACAUAAGUACCCUGAGAGGUUGAGCAGCCGAGAGCUUGGGUUUUGGUAGAAUUCCCUCCAACGUGGAUAAAAUUCUCCUGGCGUCCAAAGUAGUCUUAGUACUUAGCUUUAGUUUAGUUUAAAUAUAAUAGGUGUAAUAAGGCUACAGUUGAUUUAGUGCAAGAAAUAUAAGUUCUUAUUUAACAAAGGUGUGUCAUUUACAUAAUAAACCCGUAACAGUUUG